rnacentral:lncRNA from 1 species
AAGUAAGUAUGUUCUUACCUGUUUCAAUAAUGAAAAAGUAGUUCUAGGAGAUCAAAAAGGUCGAGUAUGCAAUGCAUCAAACCAAAUUAGUUGUAGACAUAGGGUUCCAAUUCCUAUUUAGUUGCCGUUAGAAAAAGUAGAUCCCAAUUAUCUUGCCAUUAAAGUGGUGGUUACAUCCACGAUAUAUAAUUUGAUACAGUUAUAUUAUUUUAAGUAUGUAUUUUAAAAUUUUAAGUUGGACACAACAUAUAUCAAUGGGUCAUGAUCCUAAUUUAAUAGUAUUGAUUAAAAUCUCAUAUUAAUCAUUUAAAAAGAAUAUUACACAAAUAAAAACACAAAUAUGACUAAAAACACAAAUAUAAAAAUUAAUUUUUUUAAAAAAAUGUAAA